CCAAUAUUGUGUGCUUGGAGUAAAGCACGUUGCCUUAAGCAUAUAAGUUUACUAUAUAUUAUAUAUGUUUAUUAUAUCUUCAUUUUGCUGUAUAUCAUUUCAUUUUCACCUAAAAUUCUCAAACGAGAUGACAUGAUAACUACAAAUGACUGUAACCUAAAUCUAUCUUGGUGUCAUUGUUUGUCAUCACAGCUCCAGACAUGAUACGCAGAGAAGACAACAAUACAAAGCACAAUAAGAAUAUACAUAGUCUACAAUAACAAUAUAGUAAACCUACCUCGAAGAUACUGAAAAAACCCAGUAACCAGAUUAAUAGAGGACAACCAAUCUGUGCCCUGGAACCUGUGAUGAUGUCAGUAACCUAGAUAAUGUAUCCCGUGCUCAGGACAGCCCAAGGAAAGGCAGCUGAUACGCUGAAGCAAGCAGUUCUGUCCAGACAAACAGUAAGAGGCUGCUGCUUGUAUUGUAUGGAAAAGGAUGUGUAACAGAAGAGAAAGGCUGACUCCUACAAAUCCACACGGUUUCUCUGCAUGCCUAGAUAGCAGACGUAGUGUCACAAGCAUCAUCUCUACAAUACAGGGCUGUACUGCUCCACCAUAUAUGCUCUGCCAUGUGAAUGGGGCUGAAAGGGCAUCUGUCAUCACAAAAUGGGGUCCUGGUUCCUAAAUGGGUGAUAUAUUCUCUGGUGUCCUCAUCAUCUGUGUUUCAGCCGCCAAGACAAAGUCAAGGAAGUGACGACUGAACAAGCAGGCAAGCGGGGUUCUCUGUGUGCUCCAGGCUUGUCAAUCACACUGCUUAGAGUGUGCGGCACAGAGUCCUGCUUAUCCUGCAAUAAGGAGGAGGGUGGAAGCUUUCCUACGCCAUGUGCUGGCAAGUGUGACGCUUGCAGAAGGGAAUGCCCCCUCCUCAGUGAACUGCAAAAUAUCUAGAGCCGUAACGCAGGAGAUACCAGAAGAAUGAAGAUAACGACUGAAGAAUGGAGGGUUUAGCUGUUCCACUUUUGGUGAACAUGUUACCAGAAAUCAUAUAACUGGUGCUAUCACACUUCAACCUCAAGUAUUUGCAACUGUAUUCAUUCCAUGAUAACUUUUCCAUGAAAAGCAACUAAAGCAGAGUAAAUUACAUAAUAAAAUAUGUUGAAAUAUACAAUAAACCCAACAGCUGGAUCCAAUUUGUUGUGUUCAGAAUAGUUCAGCCAACAGUGAUGCCGUCCAUUUACAGUCGCUUGUUGACAAGUCUCUCGGGAAGCGCGGCUCACAAUGACCACUAAGGGUUCUGUGCCCAGAUAACAAUAACAUAUAGUUAGAUGCCAUUCAAAUGAACAGCACAAAUCAGAAGGAAAUCAGAAGGAAAUGCUGCAAAAAGAGAAAGCACAUGGAAAGUUGCAGUUAUGGUACAGCUUUUUCUUGGCUUUAUGAGGAAACAAGAAAAAAAAGUCAGUGGAAAGGAAAGCUCAAGACUGGACCAGAGUACAUUGCUGCAUGUCAUAUACAGUCAUGGCCGUAA